CCGCAAUCGUAGUUUUAUUCUAUGUGGAAAUCUUGCUGUAACUGGCAUGGGCGGGGCUUCUGCAGCUAACUGUCAUUAACGUCAGCGCCGCUUAUGAAUAUUCAUCCCCCCUCCCUCCAGUUAGGAGCGGCAAAGAGAGGAAGAGCUGGAGGGAGGGGGGGAUGAAUAUUCAUAAGCGGCGCUGACGUCAAUGACAGUUAGCUGCAGAAGCCCCGCCCGUGCCAGUUACAGCAAGAUAUACACAUAGAAUAAAACUAAGAUUGCGGGCGAACGGCUGGGCGGAUCCGGGCAAGGAAGUUAUAACAAUUAUCCCAGAAACAGCAGCAAGAGCUCCUUGAACGCAGGAAACAACUCUGAAAAACAAGAGAUGAAAGAGAAGCUAAAAUGUGUCUUUAUCUUUUGGUCAAACUUUAAAAGAUAUGUGCACAUUUAUGCAGAAAGAAUUUUUCCUAAUCUCAUGAUCCAUUUCUCACAGGUGGGCUGUCCUGACCCUGUUAUUCCGUGUAUCCUGACCUGUACCUGUUGUCUGGUUCUCGAUGCCUUACCCCUUCUGUACCAUACUGAGUCUCCUGUUGCAGACCCGGAUUGCUGACCUAAACCUGUGCCGCCUGCCUCAACCACAGGCUGUAUUUAAAUGGAUGAACGGCAUGUACAGCUGGACUGUACAUCAGGAGGUUGACUCGUUAGGCAAGAAGAGAAGAAGCAAAGCCCCCUAUGACCAGCUGUUGUUUUUGAGCCGAAUAGAAUCCCGGAAAAUGCAAAAGACAACAGUCUUCCAGAGUCCAGAGGAAUGCUUAUCUACAUUUCAGUAGCACAGUAAAAAUAAUCAUGGCUUUUUCACUCUUUUUCCCCCACCCCCUUCCUAGUUUAAAUACU